CGAAGGUAUGCAAGCGUUAUCCGGAUUCAUUGGGUUAAAGGGUGCGUAGGCGGACCUGUAAGUCAGUGGUGAAAUCUCUCAGCUUAACUGAGAAACUGCCAUUGAUACUGCAAGUCUAGAGUAUAGAUGACGUUGGCGGAAUAUGACAUGUAGUGGUGAAAUACUUAGAUAUGUCAUAGAACACCGAUUGCGAAGGCAGCUAACGAAACCAUAACUGACGCUGAGGCACGAAAGUGCGGGGAUCAAACAGGAUUAGAUACCUGGUAGUCCGCACCGUAAACGAUGAUUACUCGUUGUUGGCGAUAUGACAGUCAGCGACCAAGCGAAAGCGAUAAGUAAUCCACCUGGGGAGUACGCCGGCAACGGUG
rnacentral:rRNA from 1 species